UACGUAGGGACCAAGCGUUGUUCGGAUUUACUGGGCGUAAAGGGCGCGUAGGCGGCAAUUCAAGUCAUCUGUGAAAUCUCCGGGCUUAACUCGGAACGGUCAGAUGAUACUGCUUUGCUAGAGUGCAGAAGGGGCAAUCGGAAUUCUUGGUGUAGCGGUGAAAUGCGUAGAUAUCAAGAGGAACACCUGAGGUGAAGACGGGUUGCUGGGCUGACACUGACGCUGAGGCGCGAAAGCUAGGGUAGCAAACGGG
rnacentral:rRNA from 1 species